GCUCGCAUGGCCUAGUGGUAAGGCGUUCGUCUCGUACUUUAAAUAAGUCUUAACGAAAGAUCCCCGGAUCGAUCCCGGGUGUGAGCA
rnacentral:tRNA from 1 species